GACGAACGCUGGCGGCGUGCUUAACACAUGCAAGUCGAACGGAAAGUCCCUGCUUUUGUGGGGUGCUCGAGUGGCGAACGGGUGAGUAACACGUGAGUAACCUGCCCUUGACUUUGGGAUAACUUCAGGAAACUGGGGCUAAUACCGGAUAGGAGCUCCUGCUGCAUGGUGGGGGUUGGAAAGUUUCGGCGGUUGGGGAUGGACUCGCGGCUUAUCAGCUUGUUGGUGGGGUAGUGGCUUACCAAGGCUUUGACGGGUAGCCGGCCUGAGAGGGUGACCGGCCACAUUGGGACUGAGAUACGGCCCAGACUCCUACGGGAGGCAGCAGUGGGGAAUAUUGCACGAUGGGCGGAAGCCUGAUGCAGCAACGCCGCGUGCGGGAUGACGGCCUUCGGGUUGUAAACCGCUUUCGCCUGUGACGAAGCGUGAGUGACGGUAAUGGGUAAAGAAGCACCGGCUAACUACGUG
rnacentral:rRNA from 1 species